rnacentral:lncRNA from 1 species
AGCUGAAGGAGAUAGGAUACUGCAAGCAAGAGGUUGGAGUGAUGUAAAGAAGGGGCUGCGAGCAGGGAAGGCAGGACCCUCCAGACACUGAAAAAGACACAUAAGGAAUUCUUCCCUAGAGCUUCCAGGAGGAACGCAGCCCUGCCCGACACCUUGAUUUUAGGCUCUCAUGGUCUGGUUAUCAGAGAGUUCUAGUCCCUGUUCUGGUUACAUUUGUCAUUAUAAAUUGAAACUUCUGGAUUUGGUGAAUGAAAGGCAACCUGAGAGACCCAUCCCCUCGCGGUGUGCUAUUGAAGGAUUUCUGGGCCUGCGAGGAGGAAAACUAGACCUUGCUGAAAUUCACCAGCAGGGUGCAGUUCACCCAGUGAGACCUUUCGGGGCAGAGCCUGCCAGCGUCUUCGGAAGGAAAUGCCCCUCGACACUAACUUUACUGUGUGCUGGAAUUUUGAAACAUCUUAAUCUACCUUGUGUAGUUUGGAGAAUUAAAGGCAAAAUAAGUGAAUCAACUGGAAUUAAAUAAACUUAACAAA